CAGCAGCCGCGGUAAUACGUAGGUGGCAAGCGUUGUCCGGAAUUAUUGGGCGUAAAGCGCGCGCAGGUGGUUUAAUAAGUCUGAUGUGAAAGCCCACGGCUCAACCGUGGAGGGUCAUUGGAAACUGUUAAACUUGAGUGCAGGAGAGAAAAGUGGAAUUCCUAGUGUAGCGGUGAAAUGCGUAGAGAUUAGGAGGAACACCAGUGGCGAAGGCGGCUUUUUGGCCUGUAACUGACACUGAGGCGCGAAAGCGUGGGGAGCAAACAGGAUUAGAUACCCCUGUAGUCCCUGUCUCUUAUAC
rnacentral:rRNA from 1 species